rnacentral:rRNA from 1 species
AGUGAACGCUGGCGGUAGGCCUAACACAUGCAAGUCGAACGGCAGCACAGUAAGAGCUUGCUCUUACGGGUGGCGAGUGGCGGACGGGUGAGGAAUACAUCGGAAUCUACUUUUUCGUGGGGGAUAACGUAGGGAAACUUACGCUAAUACCGCAUACGACCUACGGGUGAAAGCAGGGGAUCUUCGGACCUUGCGCGAUUGAAUGAGCCGAUGUCGGAUUAGCUAGUUGGCGGGGUAAAGGCCCACCAAGGCGACGAUCCGUAGCUGGUCUGAAAGGAUGAUCAGCCACACUGGAACUGAGACACGGUCCAGACUCCUACGGGAGGCAGCAGUGGGGAAUAUUGGACAAAGGGCGCAAGCCUGAUCCAGCCAUACCGCGUGGGUGAAGAAGGCCUUCGGGUUGUAAAGCCCUUUUGUUGGGAAAGAAAAGCAGCAGGUUAAUACCCCGCUGUUCUGACGGUACCCAAAGAAUAAGCACCGGCUAACUUCGUG